AAGAUACUAAGGUGCUUAAGAAU
rnacentral:piRNA from 1 species